AUUGAACGCUGGCGGCAGGCUUAACACAUGCAAGUCGAACGGUAACAGGAAGAAAGCUUGCUUUCUUUGCUGACGAGUGGCGGACGGGUGAGUAAUGCUUGGGAAUCUGUUUCAUGGAGGGGGAUAACUACGGGAAACUGUAGCUAAUACCGCGUAAUAUCGAGAGAUUAAAUGUGUGGGACCGUAAGGCCACAUGCCAUGAAGUGAGCCCAAGUGGGAUUAGAUAGUUGGUGAGGUAAUGGCUCACCAAGUCGGCGAUCUCUAGCUGGUCUGAGAGGAUGACCAGCCACACUGGGACUGAGACACGGCCCAGACUCCUACGGGAGGCAGCAGUGGGGAAUAUUGCACAAUGGGCGCAAGCCUGAUGCAGCCAUGCCGCGUGAAUGAAGAAGGCCUUCGGGUUGUAAAGUUCUUUCGGUGGUGAGGAAGGUUGGCGUGUUAAUAGCACGUUGACUUGACGUUAGCCACAGAAGAAGCACCGGCUAACUCCGUGCCAGCAGCCGCGGUAAUACGGAGGGUGCGAGCGUUAAUCGGAAUAACUGGGCGUAAAGGGCACGCAGGCGGUGACUUAAGUGAGGUGUGAAAGCCCUGGGCUUAACCUAGGAAUUGCAUUUCAUACUGGGUCGCUAGAGUAUUUUAGGGAGGGGUAGAAUUCCACGUGUAGCGGUGAAAUGCGUAGAGAUGUGGAGGAAUACCGAAGGCGAAGGCAGCCCCUUGGGAAUAUACUGCGCUCAUGUGCGAAAGCGUGGGGAGCAAACAGG
rnacentral:rRNA from 1 species